UGCCCGAGCCAUCCCCGAAUGCCCGAUCCUUGCCCUAACCGGCGGCGGUUUCCUUCUCCCUCGUGUACAAAACCUUGGGCGAGGGAUGCACAUCUCCUUUCCCUUCACUCUUCUUCAAUGCCGAUCCUCUUCUUCCCCUUCCUCUCUGAUUGACGUCGGCCACACCUUCUCCACCCGAUGGCGCCGCACACCCGAUGGCGCCGCACACCCGACGCCACUGCCGCCUCCCUUCCUCCACUCGACACUGAUCGUUGACCUGUCUAUGUGCUAGUGCCCUAGCCUUCGUCCACCGUCGAUCGCCUCACAGUCGUCCUCGACAGAUCGCCGCCCCUUCUUCCUAAUCAGAGUGUAGCCUCGGUAUGGGCUGGACUUCGACCAAGAGAAAGGAUUCAAGCCCUAGCCUUGAUUAAUCGUUGUUUCUUCCUCCUUUUCUUGCCGUCACCGCCAGUGUAGCCCUAGCCCGGCCGACCUGCGAUUUUUCCCCCUUCUCCUCCUCACUUCUGUCGACGAUUUUGGAGUCACGGUUGGGGUUGUGAGGGAGAGGAAGGCUCUGCCGUGAAGUAUUCCGACAGCAACAUUUGGGGUUUUCGGCUUGAAUCCUGGCCAACAACACUGGUUCGUGGAUUCUGUCACUAUUGGUUUCCACAACAACAACUCCUAGUUCCAGUCACUAUAGCCCCAAGGCACGUGUCUUCGGUAGUGACUCAACAGCCGGGUAUACGGAUUUG